AACGAACGCUGGCGGCAGGCUUAACACAUGCAAGCCGAACGCCCCGCAAGGGGAGUGGCAGACGGGUGAGUAACGCGUGGGAAUCUACCGUGCCCUGCGGAAUAGCUCCGGGAAACUGAAAUUAAUACCGCAUACGCCCUACGGGGGAAAGAUUUAUCGGGGUAUGAUGAGCCCGCGUUGGAUUAGCUAGUUGGUGGGGUAAAGGCCUACCAAGGCGACGAUCCAUAGCUGGUCUGAGAGGAUGAUCAGCCACAUUGGGACUGAGACACGGCCCAAACUCCUACGGGAGGCAGCAGUGGGGAAUAUUGGACAAUGGGCGCAAGCCUGAUCCAGCCAUGCCGCGUGAGUGAUGAAGGCCUUAGGGUUGUAAAGCUCUUUCACCGAUGAAGAUAAUGACGGUAGUCGGAGAAGAAGCCCCGGCUAACUUCGUGCCAGCAGCCGCCGUAA
rnacentral:rRNA from 1 species